rnacentral:rRNA from 1 species
UACGUAAGGGGCAAGCGUUGUCCGGAAUCACUGGGCGUAAAGCGCACGUAGGCGGCUUGAUAAGUCAGAGGUGUAAGCUCUAGGCUUAACCUAGAAAUUGCCUUUGAACUAUCUCGCUUGAGGUCAGAGGGAAACUGGAAUUCACGGUGUAGCGGCGAAAUGCGUAGAUAUCGAGAGGAACACCUGCGGCGAAGGCGGGUUGCUGGCUGAUACUGACGCUGAGGCGCGAAAGCCAGGGAGCGAACGGG